GACGAACGCUGGCGGCGUGCUUAACACAUGCAAGUCGAACGGAAAUGCCCUGCUUUUGUGGGGUGCUCGAGUGGCGAACGGGUUAGUAACCCGUGAGUAACCUGCCCUUGACUUUGGGAUAACUUCAGGAAACUGGGGCUAAUACCGGAUAGGAGCUCCUGCUGCAUGGUGGGGGUUGGAACGUUUCGGCGGUUGGGGAUGGACUCGCGGCUUAUCAGCUUGUUGGUGGGUUAGUGGCUUACCAAGGCUUUGGCGGGUAGCCGGCCUGAGAGGGUGACCGGCCACAUUGGGACUGAGAUACGGCCCAGAAUCCUAAGGGAGGCAGCAGUGGGGAAUAUUGCACAAUGGGCGGAAGCCUGAGGCAGAAACGCCGCGUGCGGGAUGACGGCCUUCGGGUUGUAAACCGCUUUCGCCUGUGACGAAGCGUGAGUGACGGUAAUGGGUAAAGAAGCACCGGCUAACUACGUG
rnacentral:rRNA from 1 species